GGGCCCGCACAAGCGGUGGAGUAUGUGGUUUAAUUCGAUGCAACGCGAAGAACCUUACCAGGGUUUGACAUCCUGCGAAUCUCUUGGAAACAGGAGAGUGCCUUUGGGAACGCAGUGACAGGUGGUGCAUGGCUGUCGUCAGCUCGUGUCGUGAGAUGUUGGGUUAAGUCCCGCAACGAGCGCAACCCUCGCCGUUAGUUGCCAGCAUUAAGUUGGGCACUCUAACGGGACUGCCGGUGAUAAGCCGGAGGAAGGUGGGGACGACGUCAAGUCCUCAUGGCCCUUAUGGGCUGGGCUACACACGUGCUACAAUGGCAGUGACAGAGGGACGCUACCAGGUGACUGG
rnacentral:rRNA from 1 species